UUGGUUGCUUGGCAGCACAUAUACUAAAAUCGGGACUAUAUGAAGAAGAUUAAUAUAAUCCCUACACAAGGAUGACAUAAAAAUUUGUGAAGCAGAUUUGAUCAUU
ensembl:snRNA U6 U6 spliceosomal RNA